rnacentral:rRNA from 1 species
UACGUAGGGGGCAAGCGUUGUCCGGAAUCAUUGGGCGUAAAGCGCGUGUAGGCGGUCCGGUAAGUCCGCUGUGAAAGUCGGGGGCUCAACCCUCGGAUGCCGGUGGAUACUGUCGGGCUUGAGUACGGAAGAGGCGAGUGGAAUUCCUGGUGUAGCGGUGAAAUGCGCAGAUAUCAGGAGGAACACCAAUUGCGAAGGCAGCUCGCUGGGACGGUUACUGACGCUGAGACGCGAAAGCGUGGGGAGCAAGCAGG